rnacentral:lncRNA from 1 species
UCUGUAUGGACUGACAGCACAGAGACCCACAUCGGUGUGUAUGGAAUGACAGCACAGAGACACUGAUGUCAGUCUGUAUGGACUGAUAGCACAGGGACCCACAUCGGCCUGUAUGGACUGACAGCACAGAGACAGCAACGUCAGUCUGUAUGGACUGAUAGCACAGAGAUCAACAGUGGUCUGUAUGGACUGACAUAACAGCAUGAUAACACCAACAUUGGUCUGUAUGGACUGACAGCACAGAGUCCCACAUUGCUCUGUAUGGACUGACUGCACAGAGACCCACUUCGGUGUCUAUGGACUGACAGCACAGAGACACCAACGUCGGUCUGUACUGACUGACUGCACAGAGACCCACAUUGGUGUAUAUGGACUGAUAGCACAGAGACCCACAUCGGUCUGUAUGGACUGACAGCACAGAGACACCGAUGUCAGUCUGUAUGGACUGACAGCACAGAGAUCAACAGUGGUCUGUAUGGACUGACAUAACAGCAUGAUAACACCAACAUUGGUCUGUAUGGACUGACAGCACAGGGACACCAACGUUGGUCUGUACCCACUGAUAGAACACCAUAAUAACACCAACAUCAGUGUGUAUGGACUGACAGCACAGAGACCAACAUUGGUCUGUAUGGACUGAUAGCACAGAGAUCAACAUUGCUCUGUAUGGACUGACAUAACAGCAUAACACCAACAUUGGAGUGUAUGGACUGACUGCACAGGGACCCACAUCGGCCUGUAUGGACUGACAGCACAGAGACCAACAUUGCUCUGUAUGGACUGACAGCACAGAGACCCACAUCGGCCUGUAUGGACUGACUGCACAGAGACAGCAACAUCGGUUUAUAUAGACUGACUGCACAGAGACCCACAUCGGUGUGUACAGACUGAUAGCACAGAGACACCAACGUCAGUCUGUAUUGGUGUGUAUGGACUGACAGCACAGAGACCCACAUUGGUGUGUAUGGACUGACAGCACAGAGAUCAACAGUGGUCUGUAUGGACUGACAGCACAGAGACCCACUUCGGUGUGUAUGGACUGAUAGCACAGAGACACCAAUGUCAGUCUGUAUGGACUGACAGCACAGAGACCAACAUUGUUCUGUAUGGACUGACUGCACAGAGACCCACAUCGGUCUGUAUGGACUGAUGUAACAGCAUGAUAACACCAACAUUGGCCUGUAUGGACUGACAUAACAGCAUGAUAACACCAACAUUGGUCUGUAUGGACUGACAGCACAGGGACACCAACGUUGGUCUGUACCCACUGAUAGAACACCAUAAUAACACCAACAUCAGUGUGUAUGGACUGACAGCACAGAGACCAACAUUGGUCUGUAUGGACUGAUAGCACAGAGACCAACAGUGGUCUGUAUGGACUGACAUAACAGCAUAACACCAACAUUGGAGUGUAUGGACUGACUGCACAGGGACCCACUUCGGCCUGUAUGGACUGACAGCACAGAGACAGCAACGUCGGUCUGUAUGGACUGACAGCACAGAGAUCAACAGUGGUCUGUAUGGACUGACUGCACAGAGACCCACAUCGGUGUGUACAGACUGAUAGCACAGAGACACCAACGUCAGUCUGUAUUGGUGUGUAUGGACUGACAGCACAGAGACCAGCAUUGGUGUGUAUGGACUGACAUAACAGUGUGAUAACACCAAUGUCAGUCUGUACCCACUGAUAUAACAUCAUAAUAACACCAACAUCAGUGUGUAUGGACUGAUAUAACGCUGUGAUAACACCAAUGUCAGUCUGUGCCCAUUGAUAUAACACCGUGAUAACACCAACAUCAGUGUGUAUGGACUGAUAUAACGCUGUGAUAACACCAAUGUCAGUCUGUACCCACUGAUAUAACAUCAUAACACCAACAUCAGUGUGUAUGGACUGCUAUAAUGCUGUGAUAACACCAGUGUCAGUCUGUGCCCAUUGAUAUAACACCGUGAUAACACCAACAUCAGUGUGUAUGGACUGAUAUAACACCGUGAUACCACCAACGUCAGUCUGUAUGGACUGACAGCACAGAGACACCGACGUUGGUCUGUAAGGACUGACGUAACAGCAUGAAAGCACCAACAUCAGUCUGUUCUGACUGACAUAACACCACGAGGACACCAACAUCAGUCUGUUCCGACUGACACAACAGCAUGGCAGCACCAAUAUCGGCCUGUAUGGACUGCUGUAACACUGUGAUGGCCCCAAUGUCAGCCUGUUCUGACUGACAUAACACCGUGAUGACCCCAAUGUCAGCCUGUUCCGACUGACAUAACACCAUGAGGACCCCAAUGUCAGCCUGGUCCAACUGACACCCCAUGGCAGCACCAACACCAGGCUGUACUGACUGACAUAACACCAUGAGGACAGCAGCAUCAGGCUGUAUUGACUGACAUAACAGCAUGGCAGCACCAAUAUCGGCCUGUAUGGACUGUUGUAACACUGUGAUGGCCCCAAUGUCAGCCUGUACUGCCUGAUAUAACACCACGAUAACACUGACAUCAGCCUGUACUGCCUGAUAUAACACCAUAGCACUGACAUCAGCCUGUACUGCCUGAUAUAACACUGUGAUAACACUGACAUCAGCCUGUACUGCCUGAUAUAACACCGUGAUAACACUGACAUCAGCCUGUACUGCCUGAUAUAACACCGUGAUAACACUGACAUCAGCCUGUACUGCCUGAUAUAACACUGUGAUAACACUGACAUCAGCCUGUACUGCCUGAUAUAACACCAUAGCACUGACAUCAGCCUGUACUGCCUGAUAUAACACCACAAUAACACUGACAUCAGCCUGUACUGCCUGAUAUAACACUGUGAUAACACUGACAUCAGCCUGUACUGCCUGAUAUAACACCACAAUAACACUGACAUCAGCCUGUACUGCCUGAUAUAACACCAUAGCACUGACAUCAGCCUGUACUGCCUGAUAUAACACCACGAUAACACUGACAUCAGCCUGUACUGCCUGAUAUAACACCAUGAUAACACUGACAUCAGCCUGUACUGCCUGAUAUAACACUGUGAUAACACUGACAUCAGCCUGUACUGCCUGAUAUAACACC